AGAACUUCCUGGAGGCAGCUUCUGAGGACUGAAGUCCACGUCUUCUUGCUGGAUGUUGGCUGGUGUCAUUCUCACUCCUAGAGGCCACUGCAUUCCUUCCACGAUGGCUUGAACACCUCCAUCAUCAGAGCCAGCAAGCAAGAGCACGCUGAAGACGCUUCGAGAUGCAGCAAGACGCCUGUAAUCCCAGCCCUUUGGGAGACCGAGGCAGGUGGAUCACGAGGUCAGGAGAUCGAGACCAUCCUGGCCAACAUGGUGAAGCCCCGUCUCUACUGAAAUACAAAAAGUUAGCCAGACGUGGUGGCACGUGUCUAUAGUCCCAGCUACUCGGAGGCUGAGGCAGGGGAAUCGCUUGAACCCGGGAGGCGGAAAUUGCAGUGAGCUGAGAUUGCGCCACUGCACUCCAGCCUGGCAACAGAGCGAGACUCCAUCUCAAAAAAAAAGGUGCUGCAAGACGCUUCCAAUCUCUGUGACUUCCCCUUCUGCCAUACCUCUUUACUUUUUCCCCCUCUUUUGGGGAGGGGGGAGGGUUUAAAAUAAAUAUAAAAUUUACCAUCAUAACUGUGAAAGGAAAAUAAAUCUCAGGACUCCAAAAUCACUAAGCCAAAGGGAAAAGUCAAGCUGGGAACUGCGUUGGGCAAACUGCCUCGCCUUUUCUUCUUUAAUAAAAUAGCUACGAAGAUUUAAAAAGCUACAUACCUCCCUCACAAUUUGCCCGCUAGGAAAUUUUUCGUGGGCACCCAAGAUCUUUACCCUAAAACAGUUUUGUUGAAUUUUACCCUAACAAUGUACAUUGACAACUGAUCUUCACAGGUUCCAAACAAAGGAUGGAACUCUAAGUCAUCCCUCUGCUCACCUGAUUGCUUCCUCUGGUAUAAAAGUGCAGAUUCACCGAGCCAGACUAAGGCAUAAGUGACUAUUCCUCUACCCCCGCAACCUGUAAAUUGUGUAUUUCAGUGAAAGUCUGAUCAAAGACUCACAAGAAUGCAACCUUUGUCUCUUAUCUCUCCACAUAUUUUUAAAAUUUCUCCCUCUUUCCCAAUAUCCACCCUUUCCCUUUUUUUUUUUUUUUUUUUUUUUUGAGACAGAGUCUUGCUUCGUUGCCCAGGCUAGAGUGCAGUGGUGCGAUCUCAGGUCACUCAGCAACCUCCGCCACAGCACCUGGCCAGUUUCCCCUUUAAAUAUUGAAGUCCUACAAAUCAUCCUUGAAGGAAGGCAUAGACCUGCCUCCCAGGCACUCCUUAACCUUGGCAAAAUAAACUUACUAAAUAGAUCGAGACCUGUCUCAGAUAUUUUUAGUUCACAUAACUAUAUUGAAGUGUACAGCUCAUUGAUAUUAAAUAUAUUAAUGAUGCUAUACAACUAUCACCUCCAACUCCAGAACUCUUUUUAUCUUGCAAAACUGAAAUUCUGGACCCAUUAAGCACUGACUCCUCAUUCCCUCAGCCCCUGGAAACCACCAUUCUCCUUUCUAUCCCUAAGAUUUUGGCGACUCUAGGUUCCUCAUUUAAGUGGAAUCCUGCAGUAUUUGUUCUUUUGUGACUGGCUUAUGUCAUUUAGCCUAAAAUCCUCAAGGUUCAUCCAUGUAGCAUGUGUCCAAAUUUCCUUCCUUUUUAAAGCUGAAUAAUACUCCACUGUAUGUAUCCAUGACAUUUUGCUUAUCCAGUCAUCCAUGGAUGGGCACUGGGUUGCUUCCACCUUUUGACUAUUGUGAAUAAUG
rnacentral:lncRNA from 1 species